CAACCUUUGAUCCACCAUAACUCCUCCGUCUGGGCUCCGAUCGCCGCACCAUUCGUGGCCACGCGCUCAGCGCGUCGAGCUCUACCUUUCUAUCUGAACAAUUUUACUGGUUCAAGUUAGCUUCCAGAACUUGUGGGCUCAAGCUAUUGAGCAUAUAGAUGCAGGUCGAGAGGCUCCUCGCUAGGCGUCUGGAUCUUCAAGCGGAGUAGUCCCUGAGAUGUUUUGGUUUAUCAGUUUAUGUAUUUAUGUACUUAGUUACUAGC